rnacentral:tRNA from 7 species
GCCGGCCUAGCUCAACUGGUAGAGCAACUGAUUUGUAAUCAGUAGGUUGGGGGUUCAAGUCCUCUGGCCGGCACCA